CUCUCGCCUCUACUAUCCAACUCCUGUGAGGGACUCAGGCAUAGUUCGGGCGGAGGCAGAAAGAGCGAGCGCGCGAAGAACUUCGGUAUUGAGGUUGCUAAGGCUUCUCCUCAUGUGCUUCAAGAGAAAGUAGCCUUUAACUGUGGAAAGGACACCAGGGGGACCGGGGAAGGGGAGAGCAGUGGUAAAAAUGAGCCAGAAGCAGAUAAGGCGACUGCCCGCCCCGCGGAGAGCUGCCUUCUGGGACUUGUAGUGCGCGGGGCCCCCGGAGCCGGCUGGCUGCGCAGGCUCGGCCGUUGCGCUGGCCCCACCCCGGCGGGCGGAGUAACGGUUUGGAAUCCCCCGGGGUCAGCGAGCGCUUGUUUCCUCCGCCUGGUGUAGCAAAAGUGUAAACACGCGCGCUCCGGAAGGCGCCCUCCAGUGGGAGGUUGCUCAGGGGAUGGCGGAGCUGUGAAACUCGGAGCUAGAAGGAAAAGCGCUUGUGACGCUACGAACCUCUCGAACACCUGACGACUGGGCGCCAGGGCCGGAUGGAGGGUGGAGAGCCAGUGCGGCGCAGCUGCCUCCUCUUAACGGGGACACCUUGCAGGAAUGUGCGGAGUGGAGCUAACGGGAGCGGAUAGAAACCGAGGGAGGGGAAGAGAGCGCGAAGGCUUGGCCGGAAGGAGAGGUUAAAAAGGAAAGGCCUAAAAUGAGGAAGAGAGUUACCACAACAAGCAGUACCUAGUUCCAGUUCUUGGUCCCAGGAGUUUGUGGUUGUUGCUGCUUUCAUCUUCCUCAGCCAACACAAAAGGAAAGUGCCAAGGGGCGAUUCCUAGGACCUUCAGUGCAGUCUCCACCUUGCGGACUUGGCUCAUUUGUGUCCACUCCUUUCUCCAGCCUUUUACACUUGAUGCUCUUGGAUGAAUAGAAAGGAGCACAAUUAAUGGAAAACACAAGCUUGGGAGUCAAGGGAUUUGGGUUCUAUUCUUGUCCUCCCUUGGUGACGACAUCAUUACCUUGGGUUAUUCAAGCUUUCAGUGCCAGAGUUCCUAUAUCAAUAAAAGAUUAUUACAUUGACCUCUUAGAGAAAUGUUUUCAUGGUACUGAAUUGCAAAUAAAGUAUGUGUAGCGAUGUGUUAUAUCUUUGUAGUUGUACGGUAUUAUUUGUGAAUCAUGCUGUGAUGAUCAGUGCGAUUUAAGUGCACCAUGUUAUUUGGUGAUUAUUUUCCUGAGAUCUUGUAAAAGAUUUUUCUGCUCUAUAUAUGCAGCUUUAUAAACAAGUUUUUAGGUACAUUCACAACUAAGGACAUUUGUGAAUCAAAAUUACCCCUGCUUUUUUUAAAUGUAAAGUUCUGUAUUGCUAGGUGGUUUUCAAGAUGCUUUCAGUUUCUGGGAUUAUUGUUUUGGGCAUUGGGGCUUGCCUAACCUUUUUCCCAUACCUCCCUAUUUUUCUAAAUACAGUGUUGAUAUAGUCAGGCAUUUUUCACCAAUUUGGGUUUUUUUUUUUUUUUUAAGUUUUCACUUAGAAAGUACUUCUUUUUCAUAUUAAAAAAAUUUUUUUUAGAGAUGGGGCAGCCCAAACUGGAACACAAUGGCAGAAUCAUAGCUCACUGCAUCCUUGGACUCCCGGGCUCAAGGGGUCCUUAUGCCUCAGCCUCCGGAGUAGUUGGGACUACAGAUGCUCAUCACCACCACUGGCUUUGAUUUUUUUGUUCUAUCAUACUUAGCCUAUCAGCUAACGGUUAACCUUCAGAUUCAUGGAAAUCCAGGUUCAGAAUAGUAUUAUUAAUGUCUGCUGAUGCUAAUAUUUAAAUAAUUAGAAUUAAAAAGAGCUUUCAAAUUGUAUUUUAUAUAAUUUAACCUGUAAGUUAGAAGUUUUGUUGGCAUUUUAUGGUGCAUCAAGAAAAUUUACUGAGAGAAGAUGUACUUACUUUAGAUCUGAUAAAAUGUUAAACAUUUGUUUGAUUUGAUUUGACAUCUCUUACUUUCAGGCAUUGCUUUAGCAUCUGUGGUCUGUAUUUACCCCCUUAAUUGUGGUUGCCUUGAAUUACCAAUGCAGUAGCAGUGUGAUAAAUUAAUUUCUUUACCUAUGUUUUAUUACUGCCCUCUAGUAUCUCUUUUCAGCGACCAGCGUGCUGUAACCAGUCACAAUUUCUUUAUCAAGAGUUGCCAUUAAUAUUUAUUUAUAGAGCAUAAGGUUUAUAUUGCUUAUAUAUAAGCUAUAUAUAGUUUAGGUGCUGACCUAAGGUUUAUAAAAGUGAAAACUUACUGUAAUGGGCAGUCUGAAGCACUGAGGUGCACCUUUUUAUCUUACUGGCAAGACCAUCUACUACCUAUGAAUUAUAAGGUAGUGGUCUCCAAGAUGUUUUGAUAGCCUCCCAUUUACAUAGUUACUGUUUAUGCUAUGAGAAAAGUAAGAGGGGUAUCAGAGAGCUUGUUUUCCCCAAUAGCCUGUUACGGACUCCUCAGUACCAAGUAAGGACAAAAACCUUCAUCUCCUAACACUCUUUCAACUGUAUCCCACUGAGUGCCUGCCUAGGACUGCAUAAGGCAAAAGCUGUAUAAAUAAUGGCCCCUACUUCAAGGAUCCUACAGGAUAUCAUUUUAAGAAAUAUGUGAAGAUCUAUAUAAUUUAGUUCUAAGUGUUGAGAGGAAAUUCAGUGCUACUUACAUUUAGAUAAAGUAGUGGGACUGAGAGUAGUUAGGUUAGCUUUAUGGAGGGAUUUAAGCUGAGCCUUAUGUGAAUGGAUAAAAUUUGGAGAGGAGGAGAGCAAUAAAAGGCAUAUCACACAGAGAAAAGCAAGGGCACAGAUGUGAGAAUUGUAUGGUUUCUAUAGAGGACAGUGAAGAGCUUUAUUUGUACUGUUGAUCCAUGUUUGGGAGUUCUAAAAAAAUAAGUUAUUAUGGAGCACCUUGAAAAAGUAAGAUUUCAGAGUAACAGUAAAGAAAUAGAGCAUUUAACAAAACCCAGCAUAAUAUAUUCAUAGAAACAAUAUAAUCCAGCAAAAUAUAUUCAAAAACAAUGAGCAAAUCUUAACUUGGGGUGGGGAGAUGAAUCAGUUGAUGAACAAUCAGUCAGAAUUAAAGUGUAAUACUAUUACACCUAGACCAAGAACAAUUGACCAGGAAGCCAGCGAUACCUAUGAUAGCCAAAAUGCCAUGAAGUAUGAAUGAAUUGUUAGUAAAAAAAAAAAAACGGAUCCAGGUAGUGUCCAGUAUAUAUUAAUACGUUUGAUAAGCAGAAAUGGAAAAGGCAGUAAAAUAUCCUGGUUAGAUAUAUGCCUUAUCAAGCUAUGGCAGCCAGCUUUUCAAACACCAUGAAAAACUGGGCAAGAGGCAGAUUCAGAGAAUAAGAGGGAAAUAGACUGUAAAAACAGAAUGUUGCUGAUUGAAGGCAUUGUCCCGUUCCUGUCUCGAAGGAGAUUCAUUCUCGUUGAGGCCUGGCAAUAUAUGUACUCAUUUGAAAAGGAACCUUUUGAUCUAGAGAGGUCCUGCAGCCUUCCUUCUUUUCUGAGAAGGAAAAUUUUGUUGUGGAUAUCCUUUGAGCUGGAUAGACCUGUCCCUCCCUACAGCUUCUUUGCUAAUAUAAUUGCCUCCAGUUCACUCCUAAAAGAAUGCUUAGGGUAUUAAACUGCUCUGUAGUAAGCAAUUAGUCUGUAUAUUGUUUCCUAAACUUAAGAAGGCUUUUGUUCAAGGGCCCCUGACCCUAACCUCAGCUGCCACUCCAUGCCAGUUGAAAAAGGCUUUCAGCCUUCCUUGGUGCUAUGGUUUGAAUGAAGGUAUUCCUCCAAAAUUCAUAUGUUGGAACUUAAACCCCAAGGUGGUGAUAUUAAGAGGUGGGGCCUUUUGGGAAGUGAUUUAGCUGUGAGGGCUUUGCUGUCAUGAAUGGUAUUGCCGUUAGAGUCCUCAGAGAGCUGCCUGUGAGCCAUGUGAGGACAGAGCAUUCAUCCCUUCCAGUAUAUAAGCAACAGGGUGCUCAUCUCGGAAGCAGAGAACCCUCACAAGACACUAAAUCUGCUGACACCUUGAUCAUGGACUUCCCAGCCUCCAGAACUGUAAG
rnacentral:lncRNA from 1 species